AACGAACGCUGGCGGCAUGCCUAACACAUGCAAGUCGAACGAUUGCCUUCGGGUGAUAGUGGCGCACGGGUGCGUAACGCGUGGGAAUCUGCCCUUAGGUUCGGAAUAACAGCUGGAAACGGCUGCUAAUACCGGAUGAUAUCGCGAGAUCAAAGAUUUAUCGCCUGAGGAUGAGCCCGCGUUGGAUUAGGUAGUUGGUGGGGUAAAGGCCUACCAAGCCGACGAGCCAUAGCUGGUCUGAGAGGAUGAUCAGCCACACUGGGACUGAGACACUGCCCAGACUCCUACGGGAGGCAGCAGUGGGGAAUAUUGGACAAUGGGCGCAAGCCUGAUCCAGCAAUGCCGCGUGAGUGAUGAAGGCCCUAGGGUUGUAAAGCUCUUUUACCCGGGAAGAUAAUGACUGUACCGGGAGAAUAAGCCCCGGCUAACUCCGUG
rnacentral:rRNA from 1 species